UUUUUCCUAUAGUUGAACUUUGCUUCUUUUAAAUGAAAACUUUCUUCUUUCUGACCUGACAACACUUUUUGGUCUUUUGGGUUUCUAGGAGCUCUGUGGUCCUAGAUUCUUGCAGAGAAAUGUGGCAGCAAGCCAGACGCUCAGUUAGUUUGUUUUACACCAUCACCAUUAGGAAUUUUUUUUUUUUUGAGGACCUGACUGUGCGAGCUGUGUGUCUCACUAUUUUAAGAGCUUUGACACUGACGACAGUCAUUGACUGUCCUCAAGGGAUUGAAGUUUAAAUCAGACAAGUUUGAAACCAACAGAUAAAAGAAAACCCGGACAACAGAGCCAGUGUUGAACAAGGACAGAAAUAACAACGAUAGUGAUACAGGAAUCUUCAGGGGUGACAAGUAUCUGAAUUCCACUAAAUGUAUAGUUCAGAUCUUUCUUCUUGCCUAGCAUUCGGUAUUUCUAAUAACUUGAACCAACAAAGAUGCUAGUAACAGUUGCAUGGACUUCCUUUUACUGGCACUGAUUUUCAUGUGCCUCAGAAAUGAGGCACCAUUCAUUCCAUGUUAAAAAGGUGGAAAUACAAAGAAUUCUUAUCUUUAUUCCCUGAUAUUGUGUAGCUCCAUCAUACUAGCAGUCACUGCUAUAUCUUUUCUACCUAGCAUGCCCAAAUCAAAACCAAAUAAAAUAUCUUCCUGAGACUCUUCUUGUAAUUAUAUAAAUAAAAAAUACAUUUUUGUAAUUCCAGUUUCUGUUAAUGAUAGAAUAGCUCAAUCAUCCACAGGUAAUAAUGAUGAAAUCUGGACCAUUUGAAAGUUUGGAGAAUAACCAAAAGCAGGCAGAAACUGAAUAAAGCUAACCUUGAAAGACAAUGUCUGGCAUUCGUUCAUGGAUUUUUGCUGGAGGGCAUUCUUCAAUCUCGGAUCAAGGACCCAAACAGAAGGUGUCAGAAGAUGGAGUUCAUGAACAACCAGAAAAUUAGAGGGAAAACCAGUAAAAACAAAAACAAAAACCUAUACAAGUGAAGAAAUAGGAAAAUGUGAUACAUGUGAAAAAAAAUGUCAAUAGAAACAGACCCUGAGGUGACACAGAUACCACAAUUAGCAGGCAGUAACAUAAGGCAGUUAUUAUAAAUAUGUUCAGAUACCUAAAGGAGAUAAAUACAAUUCAUAUAUAAAGAAUUGCAGCCAAGAAAUAGAAACUAUAAAAAAGUCCAAAUGGAAAUCCAAAGCUGAAAAGUACAAUUAACUGGAAUGGCAAAUUUACUGAAUGAGCUUAAGAACGGGUCAGAGACAACAGAAGAAAGAAUCGGUGAACUAGAAGAUCAAUAGAAAUGAUCCAAUAUGAAGAACAGAAAGAAAAAAAAGAAAACACAUAUCUUAGAUAAGGGCAGGAAGUAAAAGUAGGGCAGGAUUGAAAUGCUCAGUGCUAAUAAAUUCUAGCAACUAAUUCUGCAAAGAAAAAAAUUUUUUUUUUUUAAAUUUUUUUUUUAAUUAUGAUAGUCACACACAGAGAGAGAGAGAGAGGCAGAGACACAGGCAGAGGGAGAAGCAGGCUCCAUGCACCGGGAGCCUGACGUGGGAUUCGAUCCCGGGUCUCCAGGAUCGCGCCCUGGGCCAAAGGCAGGCGCCAAACCGCUGCGCCACCCAGGGAUCCCUGAAAAAAAUUUUAAAUAAACGAACCCUGGAUUUUGAAUGUCUGAUCCAUGUAGUGUUUUUCUCAAGGGUGAGAGGGAGCAUAUUAUCUGAUUUCAAAGUGGUGUCUGUUGGCUUUCAUAAGAUUAGUCCUCUUAUGUGACCAUACGUUUCUUAGCUUUCUGUUCUCUUCUUCCUCUUUUUCUCCCCCCUUCCUUCCAGUGGUCAAUGGCCUUUUUCUUCUGUGGGCUAUAUUCAGAAAGCAGUUAAUUAUGAAAUGGAAGACAACUUAAGACAGUGGACUGAGGCAAAGGAAGCCUGUGAGAUAGGUCCUCACAUACCGUUUUCUUUUCUUUUCUUUUUUUUUUUUUUUUAAGAUUUAUUUAUUUAUCAGAGGGAGCUGAGGAGCAGAGGGGGAAGGAGAAAGAGUCCUAAGCAGACUCUACACCCAGCAUGGAGCUGGGCGCAGGGCUCAAUCUCACAAUCCUGAGAUCAUGACCUGAGCUGAAACCAAGAGUCUGACGCUUAACCAAUUGCGCCACCCAGGCACCCUAUGUACGGUUUUAUUCUUAAGUGGUGAACUCUCCUGCUAUAGUCCAUUUUAACUGUAAUUUUGAGCUCUUGAUAUUUCAAAUCAUAGUCCUUUCCUUACUUUUAAGCACUAAUCUUUCUUAAGAACCUAUGAUUACAAAAUACUAAAUGGUAUUUCAAAAUAGGCAUGUUUUAAUUAUUGACCCCUUUAGACACAGUUCUG